GGAGAGAUGGGUGAGUGGCUGAAACCAACAGUUUGCUAAACUGUCGAACUGCGUAAGUGGUUCCCCGGGUUCGAAUCCCGGUCCCUCCG
rnacentral:tRNA from 1 species